GGGGAAUAUUGGACAAUGGGCGAAAGCCUGAUCCAGCCAUGCCGCGUGUGUGAAGAAGGUCUUCGGAUUGUAAAGCACUUUAAGUUGGGAGGAAGGGCAGUAAAUUAAUACUUUGCUGUUUUGACGUUACCGACAGAAUAAGCACCGGCUAACUCUGUGCCAGCAGCCGCGGUAAUACAGAGGGUGCAAGCGUUAAUCGGAAUUACUGGGCGUAAAGCGCGCGUAGGUGGUUCGUUAAGUUGGAUGUGAAAUCCCCGGGCUCAACCUGGGAACUGCAUUCAAAACUGACGAGCUAGAGUAUGGUAGAGGGUGGUGGAAUUUCCUGUGUAGCGGUGAAAUGCGUAGAUAUAGGAAGGAACACCAGUGGCGAAGGCGACCACCUGGACUGAUACUGACACUGAGGUGCGAAAGCGUGGGGAGCAAAC
rnacentral:rRNA from 1 species